rnacentral:rRNA from 1 species
ACAGAGGGGGCAAGCGUUGUCCGGAUUUACUGGGCGUACAGCGCGCGCAGGCGGUGGUGUAGGUACCUGGUGACAGUCUCGGGCUCAACUCGAGGGGGUCUGGGUCGACCGCACCGCUGGAGGCAGGGAGAGGGAUGUGGAAUACCCGGUGGAGCGGUGAAAUGCGUAGAGAUCGGGUGGAACACCAGUGGCGAAGGCGGCAUCCUGGCCCUGAUCUGACGCUGAGGCGCGAGAGCGUGGGGAGCAAACGGGA